rnacentral:rRNA from 1 species
AUUGAACGCUGGCGGCAGGACUAACACAUGCAAGUCGAGCGAGCGGCGGACGGGUGAGUAAUGUAUGGGGACUGCCCGAAAGAGGGGGAACACUACUGGAAACGGUAGCUAAUACCGCUUACUAUCGGAGAACCCAUAGGGGAUUAGCUAGUAGGUGAGGUAAUGGCUCACCUAGGCGACGAUCCCUAGCUGGUCUGAGAGGAUGUUCAGCCAAACUGGGAGUUAGACACGCCCCAGACUCCGCCGGAGGCAGCAGUGGGGAAUAUUGCACAAUGGGCGCAAGCCUGAUGCAGCCAUGCCGCGUGUAUGAAGAAGGCCCUAGGGUUGUAAAGUACUUUCAGUCGGGAGGCGUUACCGACAGAAGAAGCACCGGCUAACUCCGUGCCAGCAGCCGCGGUAAUUC